UACGAACGCUGGCGGCGUGCUUAACACAUGCAAGUCGAACGGAAAGGCCCUGCUUUUGUGGGGUGCUCGAGUGGCGAACGGGUGAGUAACACGUGAGUAACCUGCCCUUGACUUUGGGAUAACUUCAGGAAACUGGGGCUAAUACCGGAUAGGAGCUCCUGCUGCAUGGUGGGGGUUGGAAAGUUUCGGCGGUUGGGGAUGGACUCGCGGCUUAUCAGCUUGUUGGUGGGGUAGUGGCUUACCAAGGCUUUGACGGGUAGCCGGCCUGAGAGGGUGACCGGCCACAUUGGGACUGAGGUACGGCCCAGACUCCUACGGGAGGCAGCAGUGGGGAAUAUUGCACAAUGGGCGGAAGCCUGAUGCAGCAACGCCGCGUGCGGGAUGACGGCCUUCGUGUUGUAAACCGCUUUCGCCUGUGACGAAGCGUGAGUGACGGUAAUGGGUAAAGAAGCACCGGCUAACUACGUG
rnacentral:rRNA from 1 species